rnacentral:rRNA from 1 species
CGGGCCUAACACAUGCAAGUCGCACGAGAAAGCGCCCUCGGGCCCGAGUAAAGUGGCGGACGGGUGAGUAACGCGUAGGCAACCUGCCCUUGAGCGGGGGAUAACUGCUGGAAACGGCAGCUAAUACCGCAUGACGUCCACGUGCCGCAUGGCUUGUGGAUCAAAGCUUUCGAGCGCUCAAGGAAGGGCCUGCGUCGGAUUAGUUUGUUGGUGGGGUAACGGCCCACCAAGACAAUAAUCCGUAGCUGGUCUGAGAGGACGACCAGCCACACUGGGACUGAGACACGGCCCAGACUCCUGCGGGAGGCAGCAGUGGGGAAUCUUGCGCAAUGGAGGAAACUCUGACGCAGCUACGCCGCGUGCAGGAAGACACCCCUCAGGGGCGUAAACUGCUUUUAUGCCGGAAGAAAACUCUGCUUUGCAGGGCAUGACGGUACGGCAGGAAUAAGCACCGGCUAACUCCGUGCCAGCAGCCG